rnacentral:rRNA from 2 species
GAGCUGUGGUUAGGGGAGAAAUUCCAAUCGAAUUCAGAGCUAGCUGGUUCUCCCCGAAAUGCGUUGAGGCGCAGCGGUAACGAUGAGCUGUCUAGGGGUAGAGCACUGUUUCGAUACGGGCUGCGAAAGCGGUACCAAGUCGUGGCAAACUCCGAAUACUAGACAUUGCCUUCCGUAAACCAGUGAGACAGUGGGGGAUAAGCUUCAUUGUCAAGAGGGAAACAGCCCAGAUCACCAGCUAAGGCCCCUAAAUGGCCGCUAAGUGGAAAAGGAUGUGAGAAUGCACAUACAACCAGGAGGUUUGCUUAGAAGCAGCCACCCUUUAAAGAGUGCGUAAUAGCUCACUGGUAAAGCGUUCUUGCGCCGAUAAUGGCCGGGACUAAGCGGCCUGCCGAAGCUGUGGGAUUUUUUUUUAAAAAUCGGUAGGGGAGCGUCCUACAUAGGGUGAAGCAAUCGCGUAAGCGUUUGUGGACAGUGUGGGAGUGAGAAUAUUGGCUUGAGUAACGAAAACAUUGGUGAGAAUCCAAUGCCCCGAAAACCUAAGGGUUCCUCCACAAGGUUCGUCCAUGGGGGGUGAGUCAGGACCUAAGGCGAGGCCGAACGGCGUAGUCGAUGGCAAACAGGUUAAUAUUCCUGUACUCAUUAUUGUGGGGACCGAGGGACGGAGAAGGCUAAAUUGUAGCUGUGUAUGGAAUGCAGCGGAAGCGUUCAAGACGUCGAUAGGUCGAAUAAAAACGACUCUAGAGUUAAGGCGUGAUCCCAUUCACCGGAACUUGUUCCGGAUGGAUGUCAAUGAUGUCAUACUCCCAAGAAAAGCUCGUACACUAUAUACACAAUAAUGACCUGUACCAGAAACCGACACAGGUAGGUAGGUAGAGAAUACUAAGGGGCGCGAGAGAACUCUCUCUAAGGAACUCGGCAAACUAGCCCCGUAACUUCGGAAGAAGGGGUGCCUGAGCAAUCAGGUUGCAGUUAAGAGGCUUAACAUACUGAGCCCCUAAAGUUUGGGAUUUUCUUCUAAACUUUUUGAACACUAGGUGAAUUGCAAGAACGAUAGAGUUGAAUUUCUUUUUCACACUCAAUUCUGAUUUGCAGCGUAAAAAACGGUCCUAAGGUAGCGAAAUUCAUUGUCGAGUAAGUUUCGACCUGCACGAAAGGCGUAACGAUCAGAGCGCUGUCUCAGAGAGAGACUCGGUGAAAUAGACAUGUCCGUGAAGAUGCGGACUACUAACACUUGGACAGAAAGACCCUAUGAAGCUUGACUGUAGUCUGGAAUGGAAUUCGGGCUUUUCUUGCGCAGUCUAGGUGGGAGGCGUUGAAGAUUUCCUUCCGGGGAAGUUGGAGCCAUCAGUGAGAGACCACUCUGGUAAGGCUAGAAUUCUAAUGGCGAUCCUUGAAUCAGGACGCUUGACAGUUUCAGAUGGGCAGUUUUCCUGGGGCGGGAACCUCCUAAAAAGUAACGGAGGUGCGCAAUGGUUCCCUCAGUCUGGACGGAAAUCAGACAUUGAGUGUAAAGGCAAAAGGGAGCUUGACUGUGAGACCUACAAGUCAAACAGGGGCGAAAGCCGGCCUUAGUGAUCCGACGGUUCUGUGUGGAAAGGCCGUCGCUCAACGGAUAAAAGUUACUCUAGGGAUAACAGGCUAAUCUUCUCCAAGAGUUCACAUCGACGAGAAGGUUUGGCACCUCGAUGUCGGCUUAUCACAUCCUGGGGCUGUAGUAGGUCCCAAGGGUUGGGCUGUUCGCCCAUUAAAGUGGUACAUGAGCUGGGUUCAGAACGUCGUAAGACAGUUCGG